rnacentral:rRNA from 1 species
AAAUUGAAGAGUUUGAUCAUGGCUCAGAUUGAACGCUGGCGGCAGGCCUAACACAUGCAAGUCGAGCGGUAGCACAGAGAGCUUGCUCUCGGGUGACGAGCGGCGGACGGGUGAGUAAUGUCUGGGAAACUGCCUGAUGGAGGGGGAUAACUACUGGAAACGGUAGCUAAUACCGCAUAACGUCGCAAGACCAAAGUGGGGGACCUUCGGGCCUCAUGCCAUCAGAUGUGCCCAGAUGGGAUUAGCUGGUAGGUGGGGUAACGGCUCACCUAGGCGACGAUCCCUAGCUGGUCUGAGAGGAUGACCAGCCACACUGGAACUGAGACACGGUCCAGACUCCUACGGGAGGCAGCAGUGGGGAAUAUUGCACAAUGGGCGCAAGCCUGAUGCAGCCAUGCCGCGUGUGUGAAGAAGGCCUUCGGGUUGUAAAGCACUUUCAGCGGGGAGGAAGGCGGUGAGGUUAAUAACCUCAUCGAUUGACGUUACCCGCAGAAGAAGCACCGGCUAACUCCGUGCCAGCAGCCGCGGUAAUACGGAGGGUGCAAGCGUUAAUCGGAAUUACUGGGCGUAAAGCGCACGCAGGCGGUCUGUCAAGUCGGAUGUGAAAUCCCCGGGCUCAACCUGGGAACUGCAUUCGAAACUGGCAGGCUAGAGUCUUGUAGAGGGGGUAGAAUUCCAGGUGUAGCGGUGAAAUGCGUAGAGAUCUGGAGGAAUACCGGUGGCGAAGGCGGCCCCCUGGACAAAGACUGACGCUCAGGUGCGAAAGCGUGGGGAGCAAACAGGAUUAGAUACCCUGGUAGUCCACGCUGUAAACGAUGUCGAUUUGGAGGUUGUGCCCUUGAGGCGUGGCUUCCGGAGCUAACGCGUUAAAUCGACCGCCUGGGGAGUACGGCCGCAAGGUUAAAACUCAAAUGAAUUGACGGGGGCCCGCACAAGCGGUGGAGCAUGUGGUUUAAUUCGAUGCAACGCGAAGAACCUUACCUGGUCUUGACAUCCACAGAACUUAGCAGAGAUGCUUUGGUGCCUUCGGGAACUGUGAGACAGGUGCUGCAUGGCUGUCGUCAGCUCGUGUUGUGAAAUGUUGGGUUAAGUCCCGCAACGAGCGCAACCCUUAUCCUUUGUUGCCAGCGGUUAGGCCGGGAACUCAAAGGAGACUGCCAGUGAUAAACUGGAGGAAGGUGGGGAUGACGUCAAGUCAUCAUGGCCCUUACGACCAGGGCUACACACGUGCUACAAUGGCAUAUACAAAGAGAAGCGACCUCGCGAGAGCAAGCGGACCUCAUAAAGUAUGUCGUAGUCCGGAUUGAGUCUGCAACUCGACUCCAUGAAGUCGGAAUCGCUAGUAAUCGUAGAUCAGAAUGCUACGGUGAAUACGUUCCCGGGCCUUGUACACACCGCCCGUCACACCAUGGGAGUGGGUUGCAAAAGAAGUAGGUAGCUUAACCUUCGGGAGGGCGCUUACCACUUUGUGAUUCAUGACUGGGGUGAAGUCGUAACAAGGUAACCGUAGGGGAACCUGCGGUUGGAUCACCUCCUUA